GGACUACCAGGGUAUGCUAAUCCUGUUUGCUCCCCACGACUUUCGUGACAUGAGACGUCAGUAUGUGGCCCAGGGGGCUGCCUUCGCCAUCGGUAUUCCUCCACAUCUCUACGACAUUUCACUGCUACACGUGGAAUUCUACCCCCCUCUGCCAUACUCUAGCCCGCCAGUCACAAAUGCAGUUCCCAGGUUAAGACCCGGGGAUUUCACAUCUGUCUUAGCGGACCGCCUGCGACACGAUUUACGCCCAGUAAUUCCGAUUAACGCUUGCACCCUACGUAUUACCGCGGCUGCUGGCACGUAGUUAGCCGGUGCUUAUUCUUCCGGUACCGUCAUCCUCCCGCCGUAUUAGGACAGAAGUUUUCUUUCCGGACAAAAGUGCUUUACAACCCGAAGGCCUUCUUCACACACGCGGCAUUGCUGGAUCAGGCUUUCGCCCAUUGUCCAAAAUUCCCCACUGCUGCCUCCCGUAGGAGUCUGGGCCGUGUCUCAGUCCCAGUGUGGCUGGUCGUCCUCUCAGACCAGCUACAGAUCGUCGCCUUGGUAGGCCUUUACCCCACCAACUAGCUAAUCUGCCAUCGGCCCGCCCCUGUAGCGAGAGGUACUAAGAUCCCCCCCCUGUCCCUCCGUAGAGCGUAUGCGGNAAU
rnacentral:rRNA from 1 species